UUACAGUGAUGACCAUCUUAGGACACCUUUGGAUUAUACAUGAAAAUAAUGUGAAAGUUCUGAGUGAC